rnacentral:tRNA from 1 species
GGAUUGUAGUUCAAUUGGUA